AAACCGUGAUGGGGGCACAAACACUGUAAAUCCUUAAAUCUUUCCCAGGCUUCAUACAUGGACUCCCUUGGCUCCUGAUAAAAUGUAGUUAUCUGGUGUCUCAUAUC
rfam:Beta vulgaris subsp. vulgaris Bvchr7.sca008.con0062.1, whole genome shotgun sequence.